rnacentral:rRNA from 1 species
GACGAACGCUGGCGGCGUGCCUAAUACAUGCAAGUCGAACGAGAGCGACCGGUGCUUGCACUGGUCAAUCUAGUGGCGAACGGGUGAGUAACACGUGGGUAACCUGCCCAUCAGAGGGGGAUAACAUCCGGAAACGGAUGCUAAAACCGCAUAGGUCUUCGAACCGCAUGGUUUGAAGAGGAAAAGAGGCGCAAGCUUCUGCUGAUGGAUGGACCCGCGGUGCAUUAGCUAGUUGGUGAGGUAACGGCUCACCAAGGCCGUGAUGCAUAGCCGACCUGAGAGGGUGAUCGGCCACAUUGGGACUGAGACACGGCCCAAACUCCUACGGGAGGCAGCAGUAGGGAAUCUUCCGCAAUGGACGCAAGUCUGACGGAGCAACGCCGCGUGAGUGAAGAAGGUUUUCGGAUCGUAAAACUCUGUCGUUAGAGAAGAACAAGUGCUAGAGUAACUGUUAGCGCCUUGACGGUAUCUAACCAGAAAGCCACGGCUAACUACGUG